UCUCCAUGCGUAAUUGAUCUAUAAAAAUUCCACAUAUAACAAUUUUCCAGAUAUUUCUUCAUAAAUUCCAUUUCUAGAAGUUUCCAGUGCAUUUCUUCCAAACUCUUGGUUAUUUAUUUCAACGUUCUUCUUUUCUAAAAUGAAAUGACUUGAAUCAAAUUAGUUACAUCCACUUGUAAAGAGAGACGAAGAAAGAAAGAAAGAAAGAAAGAAAACACUACAGAGAUCGCUGGCAUAUACCUAUUUCUAUUCAAUCUCCAGAAAUUUCUAGACACAAUCUCCUGAAAAUUCUGUACACCUUUCAUCUGACAGUCAGAGUGUGCAAUGCCUAGGGGAAUAGACGCAUGCACUCCCUCAGCAGACAAAGAUGACUUGAUAAAUCUGUGGUGUAUGAAAGCCUGCCUUCAGAAUAUCCUGUCCACCAUAAACAGAUAAAAGAGACGCUUAAAUGCUUUGAUGAAGAGAAAAACGAUGAAAUGAGGAAAUUAUUUAACCCUAGAUGAGUAUUCCUGUGCCAGUUGGAAACACACACUUGCGCAUUUUUUUUAUUUUCGCGCGCAGUUUCCACAGAAAUGGGUAUUUUACAACUUUUGUUGGUUAUACCCACAAUGCAACACAUGCGCUCAUAGGGUAAGGGUGUGCGGCAAUGCUCCCAUAGAUUUCUGACUGUGGUUUGAGUCAUGGCCUCAAAACGAACGAGACCAAUUUCUGAGGAUGACAUAUGUCAGAUACUGAAUUCCAGUGUGAUGUCUCUGUCACCAGACAUCACACUGAAAUCAAUCAUUGAUGGCGGGAACCCCUCAGUGAACGUCUAUCGCGAUGUCCCCUCUCUCCCUCCAUCCCGUGGCCGUAAAACUCAACGGUGGCCAGUCUAUCUAUUCUAUGGAAUCCUAAAUAUUGCUGUCAUGAAUGCUUUCAUUGUGUAGACAACUACAAGGGAUCAAAGUGCGACACACUUUUAUGCAUACACUGGGCGGGGAACUGGUGAGGCCAUGGGAUGAGGUGAGGCUUUGUCAGAAGGGCAUGAAAUUGUCAGUCACCUCAUCCAUAAGAUCUUGUCUCAACAUCACCCAUGAUACGUCUAUGGUUCGCGCAGCUGCAUAUGGUCCCCACGACAAAAGGAAGUGCAGUUUCUGCCCUUGGAAGACAGCUAGACAGACGAGGAGUCUGCUCCCAAUGUGAGGCCCGCGUGUCCCAACCAUUCAGAUGUCCUAUGCUUCGAAUGCCAAGAAUAACUAGGAACUCAGUCAUAUUUUUAUUUUAUUUUAUUAUAAAACAUUGCUAACAGUAGUCCAGAAUACUAAUUUUUGUACCACAGUACCAUUUAGAAUCAAUAAAAUAUGAUUUUA